rnacentral:lncRNA from 1 species
GGACAUUCUGCGGAAUUCCUUCUUCAUCACAGAUUUGUUCAGCAAAGUUGAAGGCUUGUUUUGCUUCUUGGUCUUCGAUGUAGCAAGCAACACAGACUUAUCUUUCCCCUCAGCCUGGAUAGUCACAGUUUUCUUGUUUGCUAGGCCUAAUCAAUCAUAACACCAUAAAACAAAAUUCAUUUCACCUUAAUUUAACCCAUGCCAAAUAUGUAACAACAAUCCAAACAAGCUGUAUAUUAAGCAAACCUUUCCACAAUUAUAAACACUACCAAACAUGACAGACCUGAACUUUAGUUAAAAAACCAAAUGUGUACACUUAUAAAAUCCUAAAUAACAUUCGAACGACAUAUGACAAAUUGCAUGUAAACUAUCAAGCAAUAGACAAUUUUAACGGAUUGCAAUCAGAGAAACAAAAUCCUGCUCUAUAAAUGCAAUUAGACAAUUUUAAGAGGUAAAAAUGUAAGGGGACUAACCAGAGUGUUUGUAAGAGUGAAGGUUGUAAAGAUUGUUAGGUUCUUUGCUGAAGACAACACCGGCGGUACCAUUACCAAACUCCUUAACCAAAAAGGAGUUGUUUUUCUUCACGAUCUCCCAUACAAGUUGCCCUGGAACUGUUGUCAUUUCCACUAACUGAGAGCAAAUGGGGUUCCUAGGGUUU